rnacentral:rRNA from 1 species
UACGAAGGGGGCUAGCGUUGCUCGGAAUCACUGGGCGUAAAGCGCACGUAGGCGGAUUGUUAAGUCGGGUGUGAAAUCCCUGGGCUCAACCCAGGAAGUGCACUCGAAACUGGCGAGCUUGAGUACUGAAGAGGUCGCGGAAUUCCCGGUGUAGAGGUGAAAUUCGUAGAUAUCGGGAGGAACACCAGUGGCGAAGGCGGCGACCGGGCAGGGAUAUCGACACUGAGGUGCGAAAGCG